GUAGUACUCCCUCCGUCCCAAAAUUUUUGUCUUACGUUUGUUUAGAUAUGGAUCUAUCUAAUACUAAAAUGUAACUAGAUACAUCUGUAUUUAGACAAAUUUAAGACAAAAAUUUUGGGAUGGAGGGAGUACAAA
rfam:Triticum aestivum genome assembly, contig: Triticum_aestivum_CS42_TGACv1_scaffold_516146_6BS